rnacentral:rRNA from 1 species
GACGAACGCUGGCGGCGUGCUUAACACAUGCAAGUCGAACGGAAAAGCCCUGCUUUCGUGGGGUGCUAGCGUCGCGAACGGGUGAAUAACACGUGAGUAACCUGCCCUUGACUUUGGGAUAACUUCAGGCAACUGGUGAUACUACCGACUAGGAGCUCCUGCUGCAUGGUGGGGUUCGGACCGUUUCGGCGGGUGGGGAUGGAGUCGCGGCUUACCGGCUUGUUGGUGGGGUAGUGGCCUACCAAGGCUUUGACGGAUAGCCGGCCUGGGAGGUGGAUCAGCGACAUGGGGACUGAGAGACGCCGCAGACGGCUACGGGGGACAGCAGGGGAGAGUAUUGCACAAUGGGCGGGAGCGUGAGGAAGCGACGCCGCGAGCGGGAUGAAGGCUUAGGUGUGGGAAAGCGCUUUCGCCUGUGACGUAGCUGGAGUGACGGUAAUGGGUAAAGAAGCACCGGCUAACUACGUG